rnacentral:rRNA from 1 species
AGGGUUCGAUUCUGGCUCAGGACGAACGCUGGCGGCGUGCUUAACACAUGCAAGUCGAACGGGAUUUAGUAGACAGAAGCCUCGGCUAAAGAUUACUAAUGAGAGUGGCGAACGGGUGAGUAACGCGUGAGCAACCUGCCUAUGACAGUGGGAUAGCCUCGGGAAACCGGGAUUAAUACCGCAUAAAAUCGUAGAAACACAUGUUUUAACGGUCAAAGAUUUAUCGGUCAUAGAUGGGCUCGCGUCUGAUUAGCUAGUUGGUGAGAUAACAGCCCACCAAGGCGACGAUCAGUAGCCGGUCUGAGAGGAUGAACGGCCACAUUGGAACUGAGACACUGUCCAA